UACGAGUGCCUCAAGCGUUAUCCGGAAUCAUUGGGCGUAAAGGGUGUGUAGGCGGCCACAUUAGUCUUUUGUUAAAGCCCCGGGCUUAACCCGGGGAUCGCGAGAGAAACGGUGUGGCUCGAGGAUAUGAGAGGUGCAUGGAACUCAUGGUGUAGGGGUGAAAUCCGUUGAUAUCAUGGGGAACACCAAAUGCGAAGGCAGUGCACUAGCGUAUUCCUGACGCUGAAACACGAAAGCGUGGGUAGCGAAUGGG
rnacentral:rRNA from 1 species